rnacentral:rRNA from 1 species
GACGAACGCUGGCGGCGUGCUUAACACAUGCAAGUCGAGCGGUAAGGCCCUUUCGGGGGUACACGAGCGGCGAACGGGUGAGUAACACGUGGGUGACCUGCCCUCAGCCCUGGGAUAAGCCCGGGAAACUGGGUCUAAUACCGGAUAUGACUCCAUGACGCAUGUUGUGGGGUGGAAAGCCUUGUGCGGCUGAGGAUGGGCCCGCGGCCUAUCAGCUUGUUGGUGGGGUGAUGGCCACCAAGGCGACGACGGGUAGCCGGCCUGAGAGGGCGACCGGCCACACUGGGACUGAGACACGGCCCAGACUCCUACGGGAGGCAGCAGUGGGGAAUCUUGCGCAAUGGGCGAAAGCCUGACGCAGCGACGCCGCGUCAGGGAUGACGGCCU